rnacentral:rRNA from 1 species
UGGCGGCGUGGAUAGACAUGCAAGUCGAACGGGGUUUAGUUUGUAGUAAUACACGCUAAAUCCAGUGGCGAACGGGUGCGUAACACGUGAGUAAUCUGCCGGGAAGUGGGGGAUAGCUCGCCGAAAGGCGAAUUAAUACCGCAUAUGACAAGGGAAGACAUCUUUCCGAAGUCAAAGUCGCAAGACGCUUCCUGAUGAGCUCGCGGCCUAUCAGCUAGUUGGUGAGGUAACGGCUCACCAAGGCAAUGACGGGUAGCUGGUCUGAGAGGACGACCAGCCACACUGGAACUGAGACACGGUCCAGACACCUACGGGUGGCAGCAGUCGAGAAUUUUUCACAAUGGGGGAAACCCUGAUGGAGCGACGCCGCGUGGAGGAUGAAGGUCUUCGGAUUGUAAACUCCUGUCAUGCGAGAACAAGAAAGUGAUAGUAUCGCAAGAGGAAGAGACGGCUAACUCUGUGCCAGCAGCCGCGGUAAUACAGAGGUCUCAAGCGUUGUUCGGAUUCAUUGGGCGUAAAGGGUGCGUAGGUGGCGUGGAAAGUUGAGUGUGAAAUCCUAGGGCUUAACCUUAGAACUGCACUCAAUACUCCCAUGCUAGAGGAAUGUAGAGGAGAGUGGAAUUCACGGUGUAGCAGUGAAAUGCGUAGAUAUCGUGAGGAAGACCAGUUGCGAAGGCGACUCUCUGGGCAUUUCCUGACACUGAGGCACGAAGGCCAGGGGAGCAAACGGGAUUAGAUACCCCGGUAGUCCUGGCAGUAAACGGUGCACGUUUGGUGUGGGCGGGCUC